rnacentral:rRNA from 1 species
UACGUAGGGUGCAAGCGUUGUCCGGAAUUAUUGGGCGUAAAGAGCUCGUAGGCGGUUUGUCACGUCGGGAGUGAAAACUCGGGGCUCAUCCCCGAGCCUGCUUCCGAUACGGGCAGACCAGAGGUAUGCAGGGGAGAAUGGAAUUCCUGGUGUAGCGGUGAAAUGCGCAGAUAUCAGGAGGAACACCGAUGGCGAAGGCAGGUCUCUGGGCCACUACUGACGCUGAGAAGCGAAAGCAUGGGGAGCGAACAGG